UGGUGGAGCGAUUUGUCUGGUUUAUUCCGUUAACGAACGAGAUUUCGACUUCUAAAUAGUUCAAGUUAGGGUUCGCUCUAACUGUUGUGACUUCUUAGAGGGACUAUCGGUGUGUAUCCGAUGGAAGUUCGAAGCAAUAACA
rnacentral:rRNA from 1 species